rnacentral:rRNA from 1 species
GACGAACGCUGGCGGCGUGCCUAAUACAUGCAAGUCGAACGAGAGCAACCGGUGCUUGCACUGGUCAAUCUAGUGGCGAACGGGUGAGUAACACGUGGGUAACCCGCCCAUCAGAGGGGGAUAACAUCCGGAAACGGAUGCUAAAACCGCAUAGGUCUUCGAACCGCAUGGUUUGAAGAGGAAAAGAGGCGCAAGCUUCUGCUGAUGGAUGGACCCGCGGUGCAUUAGCUAGUUGGUGAGGUAACGGCUCACCAAGGCCGUGAUGCAUAGCCGACCUGAGAGGGUGAUCGGCCACAUUGGGACUGAGACACGGCCCAAACUCCUACGGGAGGCAGCAGUAGGGAAUCUUCCGCAAUGGACGCAAGUCUGACGGAGCAACGCCGCGUGAGUGAAGAAGGUUUUCGGAUCGUAAAACUCUGUUGUUAGAGAAGAACAAGUGCUAGAGUAACUGUUAGCGCCUUGACGGUAUCUAACCAGAAAGCCACGGCUAACUACGUG